AUUGAACGCUGGCGGCAGGCCUAACACAUGCAAGUCGAACGGUAACAGGAAGAAGCUUGCUUCUUUGCUGACGAGUGGCGGACGGGUGAGUAAUGUCUGGGAAACUGCCUGAUGGAGGGGGAUAACUACUGGAAACGGUAGCUAAUAUCGCAUAACGUCGCAAGACCAAAGAGGGGGACCUUCGGGCCUCUUGCCAUCUGAUGUGCCCAGAUGGGAUUAGCUAGUAGGUGGGGUAACGGCUCACCUAGGCGACGAUCCCUAGCUGGUCUGAGAGGAUGACCAGCCACACUGGAACUGAGACACGGUCCAGACUCCUACGGGAGGCAGCAGUGGGGAAUAUUGCACAAUGGGCGCAAGCCUGAUGCAGCCAUGCCGCGUGUAUGAAGAAGGCCUUCGGGUUGUAAAGUACUUUCAGCGGGGAGGAAGGGAGUAAAGUUAAUACCUUGGCGCAUUGACGUUACCCGCAGAAGAAGCACCGGCUAACUCCGUG
rnacentral:rRNA from 1 species